GUGGCGCGCGCGUGCGCGUGCGCGCGAGGCAGCUGCAGGUCCGCGGCCGGACGGUAGAGGCCUCCCUUCUGAGGAGGCGGCGCGGCCGCAACCGGCUGGGGCUCUGCUCCCCAGCUCGCGGGUCCUUCCCGACGAAGUCCCUGCGCGGCCCGACCCAGUGCAUAGAAGCAACUAAAAAACAAAUAGGUGUUUGAGCCCCAGAGAGAUUAUGUGGCUUCAUAAAGAUAGUAUGGCUGGUCAGCUGUCUCCACUCCUGAGGUCAUCACUCAUCAAGAGGGGAUAAUCCCAAGGACAGCAGGAUCUGCUUCGUCACUUGGAUUUAGGAGUGAGAAACCCAUCAGGCAACUAAACAGUAACAAUGACCCGCCAUUAAACACACUGAGAGAAGAGCAUGAUGAGGAGAUUGUACAAGAAGAAUCCCAGGGCUCUUGCUGACAACGCCUAUGGAGUCACUGACCACUGUGAGCUCUGCCCAUUGAACUGCAGUGAAAAAUCUCCCCCUCCCCAGAGAUGCUUGGAUGUGGGCACAGUAUCAGUUCAGACAAUGGUCUUUGCUUGGAUUUAGAGUGGAAAGAAUUUGUGCUGUGGGGUAAAAAGACCUGGGUCUGAACUGUCACUCUGCCACUUCUGUGUAGUAUGCUUUGGCAACAUUAAAAAAAAAUCUCUCUGA